GGAGAGAGAAGUCUUGGAAAAACUAGAGUGAGUAGUUCUGGGAAUUUCAUUUGCUUUUUUUGUAUAUGUUACAAAAGCUCACAGACCUCCACUUCUUGCUUUAAGCAAUAAAUGGAAAUAUAGGAAUUAUAUGUUUGAUUAUAGUAGCUACAAUUGGUAGAACCUGAAAUUCGCAUUUGCUUCAUCUGUGACUUGGAGGUCAUGUGUUUGAGCCACGUAAAUAGCCUUUUUGCAGAGCAGACGUAAGGCUGCGUGCAUUUAGCCUUCUCCAGAGCCCACAAGUGUGGGAUG
rnacentral:misc_RNA from 1 species